UACGUAGGGUGCGAGCGUUGUCCGGAAUUACUGGGCGUAAAGAGCUCGUAGGUGGUUUGUCGCGUUGUCCGUGAAAACUCACAACUCAAUUGUGGGCGUGCGGGCGAUACGGGCAGACUGGAGUACUGCAGGGGAGACUGGAAUUCCUGGUGUAGCGGUGGAAUGCGCAGAUAUCAGGAGGAACACCGGUGGCGAAGGCGGGUCUCUGGGCCUUACCUGACGCUGAGGAGCGAAAGCGUGGGGAGCGAACAGG
rnacentral:rRNA from 1 species